CGGACGCGCGCCUCGCGCAUAGCAUAUGAGGGAAGUUAAAGCAGCAUGCUUAGGUCGCUGUGCCUUGUCUUUCCAACCGAUGUAAAAGCUCUUUGAAAACGCUGUCAAAGUCUGAAAUGAAAAUCGUAAAUUACCGACUUGGCUCCACUCUGUCGAGUUAGAAUUCAAACUCCGACUUCAAACUUUACCAGUUUUAGAUAUUAGUGUCAACACUUUCCCUCAUGGCUCCCUCAUCUCCUAUUAACAUUACAGAAGUAACACCAACACCUGUGGCUCCAAACCAGACAGACUCUGCCGUCAUAGGAGUAGUGAUUGUGCUGGUCCUGUUUACACUGGCUGUCCUGGCAUUCUUGCUUUACCGCUACCUGUGUCACAACAAGGGUGCCUACCGAACAUCAGGAGAGCCUGCGCCAGGGGUGGAUCCUGAUCAGGUUUACCAAGACACGGUCACUGAAAAUAAGAAGGAGUACUUCAUUUGAAAUGCUCAGGGCUGAACAGCACAGACUGUUGUGAGUGAGAUGCCAAUGAUGGACAUACUAAAUAGGUCUGUAUGUUUUAAAGAUGGUGUGUUAGGAAACUUCAUGGUUUCUUUGCUUCAGAAACACAACCACUGUGAAAACAGUGUCAAUGAGAUGAAUAGUUGGGCUGAUGUAGUUUUUGCUUAUGUGGUGCUGAUAUGUACAGUUGCGUCAUGGCAAAAGUGAGGUGGUCAAAUAAUAUAACUGAACUUGCUGUUACCUUUCUCUGUGCCACAUAGGUGAUUUUGUAUUUUUCUGCUAGUUUUAAUAUAUGCUUAUGAUUUACAUUUUAUAUAUAUUUUUUGCCCUGGCAGUUAUCCACAUUCUUAGUACACCUCAAUGUAUCUGAUGCCUCAUGCCAGUUAUGGGUUGUGAUACACUUGCCACCACUGUUUUAAACAGUAGUUGGAGGACUGUAGCGUGACUUGUUCAUGUGAGCCUAAAGAACCACUUUCCUGAACACAUUUCUGACUACAGGCCAGGUGUAAAUCAUUGCUGUUGUGAAAAAACCUUCUAAUUCCAUUUUGUCACUUUUUACUUUUUUCAAGUUAUGCACUCCAGUAACCCUUUGCGUUGUGUAGUUUUUUUUGAGAUUCGAGGUUUUGUGCCAACAGUGACGAUAUGCAGAUUUUCUCUACCACAUGUAGACUUUCUCAGGUAUGUUUUCCAAUCCUGGUCAUGGAAUACCCCAUGUCCUGCAUGUUUUGAUAUCUACCAUGCUCUAAACACUUGAUACCACUAAUCAGGUUAUUAACAAGCCUUUGCUGAGUACAGCUGGCUAUGUGAACCAGGGAAAACGCUAAACCAGGCAUGUCAAACUGGGGACUUUCCAGACCAAAGUGCUACGGAGAUUAGCAUUUACUAUUCUCUAACGCUCUGAAAUUAGUUCAUGAAGGCCUUGCUGAUUAGCUGAUGAGCAAAAUCAAGUGUGUAUAAUGAGGCAGCGUGCUGAACUCUACAGUGUUUUGGCCCGCAAGGACUGGAGCUUGACAUGUGCGCUAAGUUGUGCCAGGCAAGAGUACUCCAGGACUAGGGUUGGGAAACCUAAUUUUGAUGGAUAACAUGUAUACAUUGUUUUAUCACAACACCCACAGAACUGUGGCUGGGUCAGAAUGC